UACGGAGGGGGCUAGCGUUGUUCGGAAUUACUGGGCGUAAAGCGCACGUAGGCGGCUUUGUAAGUUAGAGGUGAAAGCCCAGGGCUUAACCCUGGAAUUGCCUUUAAGACUGCAUCGCUAGAAUCGUGGAGAGGUAAGUGGAAUUCCGAGUGUAGAGGUGAAAUUCGUAGAUAUCGGGAGGAACACCAGUGGCGAAGGCGGCGAUCUGGGAAGAUACUGACGCUGAGGUGCGAAAGCGUGGGGAGCAAACAGG
rnacentral:rRNA from 1 species